GACGAACGCUGGCGGCGUGCCUAAUACAUGCAAGUAGAACGCUGAAGAGAGGAGCUUGCUCUUCUUGGAUGAGUUGCGAACGGGUGAGUAACGCGUAGGUAACCUGCCUUGUAGCGGGGGAUAACUAUUGGAAACGAUAGCUAAUACCGCAUAACAAUGGAUGACACAUGUCAUUUAUUUGAAAGGGGCAAUUGCUCCACUACAAGAUGGACCUGCGUUGUAUUAGCUAGUAGGUGAGGUAAUGGCUCACCUAGGCGACGAUACAUAGCCGACCUGAGAGGGGGAUCGGCCACACUGGGACUGAGACACGGCCCAGACUCCUACGGGAGGCAGCAGUAGGGAAUCCUCGGCAAUGGGGGCAACCCUGACCGAGCAACGCCGCGUGAGUGAAGAAGGGUUUCGGAUCGUAAAGCUCUGUUGUAAGUCAAGAACGGGUGUGAGAGUGGAAAGUUCACACCGUGACGGUAGCUUACCAGAAAGGGACGGCUAACUACGUG
rnacentral:rRNA from 1 species